GGGGAGGUAGCGGGAGGAGGCUGCUCAGAGGAGGCUGCUCAGCAGGGCCGGGAGGCUGCCGUGGAGACAGUGAUAGUUGUGUCAGCUCGCAACUGUGCUCAGAAACACCGACUCAGCACUCGCUUCCCAGCGCAAAGCUCUGCAGGGCCGGGAGGCUCGGGGGCAAGGAGGGAACGGGAGCGGGGAGGCUUCUGGAGGACAAAAGAAAGAAGACACGCAGAGAGACGUGGAGGGAUAGAGGCUGAAAGAGGGAGGAGGUGAGAGAGACAGACAGAGACCUGGAGGGAGAGAUUGGCAGAGAAUGAAACAAAGACCGAGAUGGAGAGAAUCCGGAGUCUGGAGAGGCCAAGCGCCAGGAGAGAGCACGCUGGAGCUCAGGCAGUGUGGGAGACAGAAGGGAGAUGCAGGCCAGGGCCCUGUGCCCUGAUGGAGCGACCCUCCUUGGGGAAGAUUCUUCUUUCAAGGCCUGGGUGAAGACCUCUGCCUCCAGGAAGCCUCCUGUGGCCAGCCAAGCCAUAACUGUUAGACCUCUGGGGAGGUGGUCCCCAUUUGCUGCCAACUCCAGCGCCAGGCUGAUGGCUGCCAGGAGCUGGAUGACAGAAGGACGGGAGAGGCUGCAUCCAGGGAGGCAUGGAACCACCCAGAGGACCGGGCCAUGCGCUGCUCUGGCCUCCUCUGCCCCUGGGGGACCCUCCACUGCUCAGGCCUGGGGGAGCAGCCAGGUAAGGGUGGUCUCUGGCUGGGCGGAGGGUUUGUCAAUGUGUGGGUGCUGGGGUAGCCUGGGUGGCUGGAGUGGGAGAGAAAGGAACUCAGCAUCAUUUUUCUCCUUUCAGCAGAGAUGCUGGACGUCCUGGGUUAGGAGAUCAGGCCUGUCACACGUCACCCUCCACCCUCACCAACAAAACACAUAUACAAAUGGAAAGAGACAGAGAGAGGCUGAGUUAGCUGCUCUCUUGAUCUGUGCUUACCUUUGUGUCUUACUCUUCCUUCUUUGCGUGAUGACUUUUCCCUCCUUCAUUUAA
rnacentral:lncRNA from 1 species